AGAUAGAAUAUUUUCUCCUGAAUGUGCUUGAUCUCAUCUGAUCUGAUCUUGUAAAGCUAAGCAGGGUGGGCCUAGUUAGUGCUUGGAUGGGAGACCACCUUGGAAUACUGGGUGCUGUAGGCU
rfam:Pongo abelii chromosome 6.